rnacentral:rRNA from 1 species
AGGUGCUGCACGGCUGUCGUCAGCUCGUGUCGUGAGAUGUUGGGUUAAGUCCCGCAACGAGCGCAACCCUCGUCCUUAGUUGCCAGCAGGUUAAGCUGGGCACUUUAAGGAGACUGCCUUCGCAAGGAGGAGGAAGGUGAGGACGACGUCAAGUCAUCAUGGCCCUUAUGGCUAGGGCUACACACGUGCUACAAUGGGGCGUACAGAGAGUUGCGAUACCGCGAGGUGGAGCCAAUCUCAUAAAGCGUCUCUCAGUUCGGAUUGAAGUCUGCAACUCGACUUCAUGAAGCUGGAAUCACUAGUAAUCGUAGAUCAGCAAUGCUACGGUGAAUACGUUCCCGGGUCUUGUACUCACCGCCCGUCACACCAUGGGAGUUGAUUUCACCCGAAAUUGGGAAGCUAACCUUCGGGAGGCUACCACUUACGGUGGAAUUAGCGACUGGGGUGAAGUUGUAGCAACAUA